UACGUAGGGUGCAAGCGUUGUCCGGAAUUAUUGGGCGUAAAGAGCUCGUAGGCGGUUUGUCGCGUCUGCUGUGAAAACCUGGGGCUCAACCCCGGGCCUGCAGCCGAUACGGGCAAGCUAGAAUUCGGUAGGGGAGACUGGAAUUCCUGGUGUAGCGGUGAAAUGCGCAGAUAUCAGGAGGAACACCGGUGGCGAAGGCGGGUCUCUGGGCCGAUAUUGACGCUGAGGAGCGAAAGCAUGGGGAGCGAACAGG
rnacentral:rRNA from 1 species